GGCAACAUAUAACUGAAGGCAAAGUUAAACUUCAAGAAGGUUAUGAGGUCUGGAUAUACCCAGCAGUACUGAACAUCAUAAAAGGAACAUCAAAUAAUUGCCAAUCAAGAAUUUUUGGUCAAUUGUUACAUCAUUUUCUGGGUGAAAAACUAGCAUCGUUAACUUCUAAGAAAAUACCUAGGGACGUAUAUAAUGCAUCACAUGCAUAUGCUCUUGAAAAUGCGACCAUUCCAUUUUCACUUACAGUUGGCAAAUGUGCUAAUAAUAAAUGCACAACAGAGAAAAAAAAGGAUUUGAAAAGAAAAAAAUUACCAUCAACUAGUUCACUUACAGUUAGCAAAUGUGCUAAUAA